GAUGAAGAACGUAGCAAAAUGCGAUAAGUAAUGUGAAUUGCAGAAUUCAGUGAAUCAUCGAAUAUUUGAACGCACAUUGCGCCCGCCAGUAUUCUGGCGGGCAUGCCUGUUCGAGCGUCAUUUCAACCCUCAAGCCCUCGGGUUUGGUGUUGGGGAUCGGCGAGCCUUUCUGGCAAGCCGGCCCCGAAAUCUAGUGGCGGUCUCGCUGCAGCCUCCAUUGCGUAGUAGUAAAACCCUAGCAACUGGAACGCGGCGCGGCCAAGCCGUUAAACCCCCAACUUCUGAAUGUUGACCUCGGAUCAGGUAGGAAUACCCGCUGAACUUAAGCAUAUCAAUAAGCGGAGGA
rnacentral:misc_RNA from 1 species